rnacentral:other from 1 species
UGCGGACUGCUGUGUUGGUGUUUGCCCUGCCCAGUGUUCUGAUCUGACUCCCUUUUCGACUCGGGGGGGAUGUCGCGACGGUGACGUAGGCCGGCCCCGUAGCUGGAAACGAAGCCCCGCUUUUCCCCCCCUUCUGGUUCUUCCAGGUCGAACUCGGGGGCAUCACGGCACGGUGGUCCACCC